CACGUAGGCGGAUAUUUAAGUCAGGGGUGAAAUCCCAGAGCUCAACUCUGGAACUGCCUUUGAUACUGGGUAUCUUGAGUAUGGAAGAGGUAAGUGGAAUUCUGAGUGUAGAGGUGAAAUUCGUAGAUAUUCGGAGGAACACCAGUGGCGAAGGCGGCUUACUGGUCCAUUACUGACGCUGAGGUGCGAAAGCGUGGGGAGCAAACA
rnacentral:rRNA from 1 species